rnacentral:rRNA from 1 species
AGCGGCGAGCGAACGGGGAGCAGCCCAGAGUCUGAAUCAGCGCGUGUGUUAGUGGAACGGUCUGGAAAGUCCGGCGGUACAGGGUGAUAGCCCCGUACACUAAAAUGCACACGUUGUGAACUCGAAGAGUAGGGCGGGACACGUGGUAUCCUGUCUGAAUAUGGGGGGACCAUCCUCCAAGGCUAAAUACUCCUGACUGACCGAUAGUGAACCAGUACCGUGAGGGAAAGGCGAAAAGAACCCCGGCGAGGGGAGUGAAAAAGAACCUGAAACCGUGUACGUACAAGCAGUGGGAGCCUACUUGUUAGGUGACUGCGUACCUUUUGUAUAAUGGGUCAGCGACUUAUAUUCUGUAGCAAGGUUAACCGUAUAGGGGAGCCGCAGGGAAACCGAGUCUUAACUGGGCGUUAAGUUGCAGGGUAUAGACCCGAAACCCGGUGAUCUAGCCAUGGGCAGGUUGAAGGUUGGGUAACACUAACUGGAGGACCGAACCGACUAAUGUUGAAAAAUUAGCGGAUGACUUGUGGCUGGGGGUGAAAGGCCAAUCAAACCGGGAGAUAGCUGGUUCUCCCCGAAAGCU